UACGUAGGGUCCGAGCGUUGUCCGGAAUUAUUGGGCGUAAAGGGCUCGUAGGCGGUCUGUUGCGUCGGGAGUGAAAACUUACAGCUUAACUGUGAGCGUGCUUCCGAUACGGGCAGACUUGAGGUAUUCAGGGGAGAACGGAAUUCCUGGUGUAGCGGUGAAAUGCGCAGAUAUCAGGAGGAACACCGGUGGCGAAGGCGGUUCUCUGGGAAUAUCCUGACGCUGAGGA
rnacentral:rRNA from 1 species